AUUGAACGCUGGCGGCAGGCUUAACACGUGCAAGUCGAGCGGGGUGAUGGUGCUUGCACUAUCACUUAGCGGCGGACGGGUGAGUAAUGCUUAGGAAUCUGCCUAUUAGUGGGGGACAACAUCUCGAAAGGGAUGCUAAUACCGCAUACGUCCUACGGGAGAAAGCAGGGGAUCACUUGUGACCUUGCGCUAAUAGAUGAGCCUAAGUCGGAUUAGCUAGUUGGUGGGGUAAAGGCCUACCAAGGCGACGAUCUGUAGCGGGUCUGAGAGGAUGAUCCACCACACUGGGACUGGGACACGGCCCAGACUCCUGCGGGAGGCAGCAGUGGGGAAUAUUAGACAAUGGGGGGAACCCUGAUCCAGCCAUGCCGCGUGUGUGAAGAAGGCCUUAUGGUUGUAAAGCACUUUAAGCGAGGAGGAGGCUCUUUUGGUUAAUACCCAAGAUGAGUGGACGUUACUCGCAGAAUAAGCACCGGCUAACUCUGUGCCAGCCGCCGCAGUAA
rnacentral:rRNA from 1 species